AACGUACGCUGGCGGCAGGCCUAACACAUGCAAGUCGAACGAAGCCUUCGGGUUUAGUGGCGGACGGGUGAGUAACGCGUGGGAACAUGCCCAAAGGUACGGAAUAGCCCUGGGAAACUGGGAGUAAUACCGUAUGUGCCCUUCGGGGGAAAGAUUUAUCGCCUUUGGAUUGGCCCGCGUUGGAUUAGGUAGUUGGUGGGGUAAUGGCCUACCAAGCCGACGAUCCAUAGCUGGUUUGAGAGGAUGAUCAGCCACACUGGGACUGAGACACGGCCCAGACUCCUACGGGAGGCAGCAGUGGGGAAUAUUGGACAAUGGGCGAAAGCCUGAUCCAGCAAUGCCGCGUGAGUGAUGAAGGCCUUAGGGUUGUAAAGCUCUUUUACCCGAGAUGAUAAUGACAGUAUCGGGAGAAUAAGCUCCGGCUAACUCCGUG
rnacentral:rRNA from 1 species